CUCAGGAGAAGAUCUAAACAGGUCCUGGUUGUCAGUAAAGGAAUGGACUCAUGAAAUACCUGAAGGCCUUCCUGUGCCGUGAGCAGGCAUCUAUUCUAUGUAUUCCCGCAGCUUAAGCCCAGUGCUGCUGGGAUAAAUGAGGCCUGGGUAUGGUACAGAUAGAUGCUUGCGGCAGAAACCAGGUGCAUGCAGCGCUGCAGCAACCUGCUAGCAUCAACCAUGACCAUUGGAAGACCUCAACUCUCAACAACUCCCAACCCCACUUCCUGACCUGUGGUGAGAAAAUGGAAAUGGGGCAGACCUGAAUGGAAGUCCAGAUUCUAGAACUGAUCUAUACUGUUAGUAGGUUUACAAACCCUAAUUUGCAUAAAUUUGGAUCAUUGUCAUUAGUAGUUUUCAACCCUAGUUGGCAAAAGUUUGGACCAAUAGCAAUGACCCAAGUGCUAGACCCAAGUCUAGCACACUCCUGCAAGGAAACAUGCUAUGGAGUCCCCUCUUGGAUGGCAAAGUUUCUUUUCCUGUUCUUCAAUAAAUUCUGCUGUUAUACUCACACAUCCUGCCUGGUCUGUGGGUUUCAUUCUUUGAAUUUCUGAGACAAGAACCCAGAAAGAAAAAGAUUGAUGGUGAGCUGCGGGGAGGGCAGGGCCGGUCAUUAAGAACUGCAACACUUGGGGCCGCAGAGGCUGCCACUUGUGCAAAUCCCACCCACCAGCAGAAGUGGAGAAACCCCGAGUAACUGUAACUUCAUCAGUACCCAGUUCAUGUUAUCUGCUCUCACUAAUUUUGUCAAUAUGAACUAUAUUUCUUUGUUCCACUUGAUGGCUGUGGUUUUCAAUUCUGUAUUAUCACACAUCAGUAAUCUUGGUAUUUUACUUCUGUGGUGUUUAUUGGUACUGUCUGAAGUUUAUCCAUUUUUAUAUUUUAGGCAUUCCUCUUUUAAACAACAUAUACCAGGAUAUUAUUACUGAUGCUUUCUUAGCAGAGGACCUAAUUUUAUUGAAAUUUACUGUUAACAAUUGAUGGGACUGGCUUGAAUCAGGCCAUCUCAAUUUAAUUGUUCCACUGUUUUUUUUAAAAAUAAUUAAACUGUUUGGUUACAUAUUUCUA